rnacentral:Y_RNA from 1 species
GGCUUAUCCAAAGGUAGUGAGUUAUCUCAAUAGAAUGGUUUACAGUCAGUUACAGAUUAAACUCCUGGAUCUACUCUUUCCCACUUCUCACUACUGAACUUGACUAGUCUUAA